rnacentral:rRNA from 1 species
AUUGAACGCUGGCGGCAGGCCUAACACAUGCAAGUCGAGCGCGAAAGGCCUUCGGGUUGAGUAGAGCGGCGGACGGGUGAGUAACGCGUAGGAAUCUACCUGGUAGUGGGGGACAACAUGGUGAAAACCAUGCUAAUACCGCAUACGCCCUAUGGGGGAAAGCGGGGGACCUUCGGGCCUCGCGCUAUCAGAUGAGCCUGCGUAGGAUUAGCUUGUUGGUGAGGUAAAGGCUCACCAAGGCGACGAUCCUUAGCUGGUCUGAGAGGAUGAUCAGCCACACUGGAACUGAGACACGGUCCAGACUCCUACGGGAGGCAGCAGUGGGGAAUAUUGCGCAAUGGGCGAAAGCCUGACGCAGCCAUGCCGCGUGUGUGAAGAAGGCCUUAGGGUUGUAAAGCACUUUCAAUUGGGAAGAAAGGUUGCGUGUUAAUAGCACGUAGCUGUGACGUUACCUUUAGAAGAAGCACCGGCUAACUCCGUG